ACACAAUGAAACAAUACGCCCAUUUAGUACAUUCAUUACUGGCCAAACUCGCCGUUCAUAUAACCUUAAUUCUGCUGGUCAGGUCUUUCGCAGUUCCAAUAUAUCGCUCGGGCGUUGUACAGGUAAUGACGGUUUUAAUUAGAUUUCGGACCAUGUAUAUUAUAUGGCCUGACCGAGCGUUGAAUUGAUACAUUUCCAGUAAUAGUCCGUGCAUGCUGUCAACAACAAAACGAUAACUCUGAUCUUCAUCGACGAAACUUAAUGCCAGUGUUAACUCAUGGUUUCGUCUUCGAGUAUUAGAGCGAGAAACGAGCAUGUUUCUCGCGCUCGCA